CGAACGCUGGCGGCAGGCCUAACACAUGCAAGUCGAGCGCACCUUCGGGUGAGCGGCGGACGGGUGAGUAACGCGUGGGUAACCUGCCCCAUACAAAGGGAUAGCCACUGGAAACGGUGAUUAAUACCUUAUAAUAUCAAUGAAUCGCAUGAUUCGUUGGUCAAAGAUUUAUCGGUAUGGGAUGGACCCGCGUCUGAUUAGCUAGUUGGUAAGGUAAUGGCUUACCAAGGCGACGAUCAGUAGCCGACCUGAGAGGGUGAUC
rnacentral:rRNA from 1 species